CACGUAGGGUGCGAGCGUUGUCCGGAAUUAUUGGGCGUAAAGAGCUCGUAGGCGGUGUGUCGCGUCGGCCGUGAAAACCUGCAGCUUAACUGUGGGCUUGCGGUCGAUACGGGCAUUACUGGAGUUCGGCAGGGGAGACUGGAAUUCCUGGUGUAGCGGUGGAAUGCGCAGAUAUCAGGAGGAACACCGGUGGCGAAGGCGGGUCUCUGGGCAGUAACUGACGCUGAGGAGCGAAAGCGUGGGGAGCGAACAGG
rnacentral:rRNA from 1 species